GGAGGGUGACAACCGCCAGCCGGCCCACCUCCUCAGUCCCCAUUGGCUACAAGGCGCCACUGCCGCGCUAUGGCUGGGGCUUCCCAGCCAGAGCAGGAGAAUGACGGCCGCUCCCUCCCGCGCCGGAAAGGAGGCAUCACCCUGCACGUUCCCCACGAGUGGGCGUGGAAAGAGAGCGGAAGCCGAAACUAGGCGGCUUCACAGAUCUUGCACUGGGUCCCUGUGCCUGCCUGCCAUCGAGGAUCCAAAAUCUAAGGAUGAUGCUCGGAGUCCCACCACAGCCUGUCAGAGUUCACAUAGCGAAACCCAAAGCGCCUGCCCCUGUGACAUCAUGUGAAUUCAGCCACCCUCACUACCGCCACCAGCCCAGGAUAAGGAUCAUAUUUCCAGUCUCCUUUGCAGCUACCCGGCCACUGGACCAAUCUCCAACCAGGCAGAUAAAGGGAUGGAAGUUAGAGUCUCGCCUGGCGACUUCCGGUAACAGCUUUGUGCCACUUUCCCUAGAACGAUCCUCCUGCCUCCUUCCUGCCAGCUCCAUGGAUUGUAAAAUCACGUUGGGCGUGGCAGCCAGACAGAAUAAAGCACCAAAUUAAAACAGGUGCCAGUGUCCCCAUGUCAUGCAGAGUCAGCAAGGCACUCUGCACCAGCCCCAGCCCCACACUUCCUAUCUCCAGGUUUCUAAAAUAAAGAGAAAAAUGAAAUUGCCCUGUGCCCCAAACUGUGGCUAUUUGAGGGUUUUCUAUUACAAGUAGGCGAACUCAUUCCUAGCCAGUAUAGAGGCUAAGCGGCCAAGGGGUAAGGGGAAUCGUCUCAAGCAGGAUGGACAGGAAGGUAUCCCCGAGGGUGUGACAUUUGGGCAGAACAAAAGGAGGGAGAAGCCAAGCUGUGUGGGCAAGGGUGUCCCAGGCAGAACUUGCUCCCUGUCACCUAAGCUGGCAACCCAAGCCUUGUCCCCAGGCACCUUCUGUUCUACAGGCCACGUCUCACCUGUCACCAGAACAGAGUUCAGAACAAAGGAAACCAACUAAGGACACACACUCCCAGUCUCACCUCUCAGGCUGCCUUCUGCAGUCUGGCCCACAAAGGGUUAAACUGCUCCCCCCCCCAGCCCCCCCCCCCCCAAAGAGCUCUGUGAUGGAGCCUGGGGCCUUGUCUGGAAAACUGAUCUUGUGGGUUCUUUUAGUUCUGUAAGUCUGUGGUACUUUGUUAGGGAAUCCUUAAAGGAGAGGUUUCCUUUCAGGGAUAUGGUCUGACUGUGUAGCCCAGACUGGGCUCGAACUCACAAUCUUCCUGCCUGAGCCUCCAAGGGCUGGGGCUCUGUGAAGGUUAUGUUUUAUUGAGAUGUAAACUCACAUAUUACAUAAUUUAACCAUCUAAUUCAACCCACUGCUGGAGGAAUUCACGGAUACAGGAACCGUAAAUGCAGAGACGAGCUGGGAUUGCGUGUGCAGUGGGAACAGCCUCAGAAUAGCUCAUCAUCUAACAGAGGGCUGCGUCAGUGCAGAUACUGAGUGUUAAUUGUCAAGUUGGAGGUACCCAGAAGCACCUGAGAGAUG
rnacentral:lncRNA from 1 species